rnacentral:rRNA from 1 species
UACGUAGGGCGCAAGCGUUGUCCGGAAUUAUUGGGCGUAAAGAGCUCGUAGGCGGUCUGUCGCGUCUGGUGUGAAAUCUCAUGGCUCAACUGUGAGCUUGCACCGGGUACGGGCAGACUAGAGUGCUGUAGGGGAGACUGGAAUUCCUGGUGUAGCGGUGGAAUGCGCAGAUAUCAGGAGGAACACCGAUGGCGAAGGCAGGUCUCUGGGCAGUUACUGACGCUGAGGAGCGAAAGCAUGGGGAGCGAACAGG